GUGGGUUGGCUUUCAUGGCUGUGUUGUUGUACUUUUCAGUUGGGAUGGAAGAGAGGAGUGUUGAGUGGUGGGGAACUGCCGGUGAGCAUUGUGAUUUGGCUGCUUGUCCUACUGCCAAAGGUGUGGUGGUUGAUAGUUGCCCAGUUAGGUAAACAGAUUUGAUGAUUUAAGUAAUAAACAUUCAUAAUUUGUUAGCGUUGAAGACUCUUUGGUGUAGAUUUUAUUGUAAAGAUUGUGAAGAUUGAAGCACUGAUUACAUACAAACCUUACUAUUCUCAAAAUAUAUCUUAGUUUUUUUGUAAUUAUCCCCAUUUUGCUGGGAGCAAUUGCAAUUAUGACAUUGACAUCGGCGGUGAACUAAGUGAUUUUUUAAAAAUUAAAAUAUUUUACAAAUAUAGUAAAAUAUAAUCAUAGUAAAAAUUAGAUAAAUAACAAUAAGUUUCGAGUUAGAAAGUUGAAAAAAUCUAGUAUCACCUCAACACAAAUUAUAGUGUGAUUCAUUAAUAAAAUGUUAUUAUUAUAAUUUUUAAUAAUCGUUAUGAAUUAUUUUAUUAAUUUUAUCUUAAUAACCUAAAUCUAAUAAACUAAUUAUCUUACAAACAUUGAAUCGUACAUAAAUUAACAUCUAGAUAAACAUGAGUAGGGUAUCUCUAAACACUUUGAUAUGGAGUUUAUGCAAAAUAAAUAAAAACACUAAUUAGAAAGAAAAUAGAGAAAGAGACGUGCCAAAACUUCACCAAACCCUAUAAAAACAACUUGUCAAGUUGUUUACCUUUUGUCCGAGCUGUCCGAGUCACGGUGUCCUACGUUUCCAAUUCUGGCCCCCGCAAAAUCACUUCCUUUUACUUUCCUACACCCACAACUACUCUCACUAUACCACUCACCCCCAUAUCUGUCAUCU
rnacentral:lncRNA from 1 species